CCAAUAGCGUAUAUUAAAGUUGUUGCAGUUAAAAAGCUCGUAGUUGAAUUUCGGGAUCAAUAUUUCGGUCAUGCCGUUGGUAUGCACUGUUAUAAUUGAUUUCUCACCUUCUAAAGAACCGUAAUGCCAUUAAUUUGGUGUUACGGGGAAUUAGGACUGUUACCUUGAAAAAAUUAGAGUGUUUAAAGCAGGCUCACGCU
rnacentral:rRNA from 1 species